UCCUGCACACCCCUAGAAGCCGUUGGCAGUUAAAAACUGUUGGGGAGAGAGUGUCAUUUUCUUCAGUGGUGUAGCCUUAGUGAGUCGUCUUUACUCCAGUAAAUAACCUUCCACCCAUGCUUGGGCAGGAAACUGUAAGUAAACUCAGUAGCUCAGUAGUUUUUUUUUUAAUAAGGGAAAGCAGGAAGAGGAGAGAAAGAGGAAUAGACGUUAAAAUGACCAACACUGUACAGACGCAUGAAGCUGUCCAACGAAAGAGCCCCUCUGUACUUUUGAAAGCACCUCUCUUGAGUCCUGUUUUUUAACCACUUCUUUGGCAUCCAUGAACUUCAAGCAACAAUACCCUCCAAUCCCAAGGUUGAACUACCUGCUUCUGCAGCUGUAAAUUGCUGUGAUAACUGAAAGAGGAGAUUACAAAGGGCAUAAGUUAGACGCACGAGGCUUGCUCGCAGCUCUCAAAGGCGGUGCUACGGCUGUCUCCAGUUCUCGAGCUCAGCGACGGAAAACACACCAACAUAAAAGAAGAAGGCAGGAAGCAAGGUUUACUACAGCAACAGUAUUCCUGGAAAGCUAGAUCCAUGGAAGGGAGGAGCCCACAGCAUCUUUAGUUUCCCCUAUAUCUAUUCUGCCUGCUCUUGUCUAUCUUAACUCAACUUUCUUGUUGCUAGUGAAUUUAAAAUGUUUCCUUCCUA